CGCGGGCGCGCAGGCGCCGGCGCCUUGAUCUUUUCCAGGCUGGAGGCCGUGCCGCUGGAGCUGCUGUUCAGGGUGUCCGUCUUGGAGCUGUCGGUCAUCUCAUCCUCCAGCUGCAGGUCUGAGGUCAGGGUAUCAAUCUGGUCGACAACCUGGUGGGAAGGACAAGAAGCUGGAAAAGGCUGAGUUCUGAGACUGGCUGGGGUCUUCCGCACAGCAGAAACUCAAGAGGUCUGCCCGUUAUAUGUCUCACCACCCCAUCCAAGGAGCUGGGAAAGAUCAACGAAUUUUGGAAAAGAUGGCCACAUUUGUGUUUGUGUGGGAAAGAUGGCUUCACUCAUGUUGUCACCCAAAAGAACCAAACUUCAAAUGAAAGUGUUUACAGGCUUACAGGCUUGGGAGCAUCAGUCGCAGUGGCCAGGACACCAACAGGAUCCAAGGGGGAAAAUUGCAAAAUGGACACCCGCAUGCUCAGGGCCAGAGGAUCCAGGCAGAGGCAGAGGCCUGGAGCUCACUGCAGGCUCAGGAGAGUCCAUGCCACAAAACCAAAGGCACUGGAAGUUCUUCUCAGUUCUCACUCAGGUGACUGGAAAUGAAUUUAUUACAGUUUUCUUCCUCCGGCAACUUUACAUCAGAAUGUCAGUAACUCUUCCUGGCUGUGGAGACGGCCUGUGACUGCAGCCACACACUCUCUUCCUUGUCGUCCGACAUAGCAGAGCCAAGUUUUUCUUACUCAGGCAGUGUUACUACUUCACCACUGUCUGUAACUGUGCAUGCAUGUGUGUGUGUAUUCAGUUAGAUGCACCUCUAUGUUUGGACAAGUGGGUCUUUUCUCACAUGAUUAAUUUUGGUCCGCACACUGCACAGUAAGGCAUAAACAGGAGACUGCUGCACUGCUCUGAGGGAAUGCUUCCUCUGUCGUAAUGAAGAGAACCACAAGAUUACAUGGUAUACUUUUACUUUCCUCCAGUCAUUAACAUGCAAGGUAUAAUGUCUAGAAGUACUUCACAUCAGUUACUACAGUGAGCAAAAACACUGAGGAUAACACAAUGGUGGAACAGAAUAGCCUUGACUCCUGGUAAUACAAUGGGGCUGCAAGUUAAACUCCCAGUAGCCUAGGACAUGAGUCACACAUUUCUCUAAGCCACUUAUAAACGGGCUUUAAACUUUUCUGUUUGUGUUACUCAAUAAUUUGCACCAAAUUUUAUAAUCUAUUAGUAGAUGGUAAAUGCUGCAAAGUUAGGUAUGGGUUGUUUUACCUCCUCUGCUUUCAAAGUAUCUGGCAGUAUCUGCUCAUAAAAAUAGUACUUGGAAAAAUUAAAGUUUCAGAUCAAGUAAAAUAUGUUAUAUUCUUUUUCUCCCUCUCUUCUCCCCCUCCCUCCUUCUAUUGUCUCUCUCUCCUGGGCACAUGUACUUGCACAAAUUGCACAGCAAGUACUGGGCUUAAUUAAAGUCUCAGUUCCAUUACACAAGCGCUAGAGUAAAAGUAUGUCACUACUUCCCUUCAAAAAACUCUCUGUCAUGUCACAUAUGCUCAUCCCAUCAUUCUUGCCACUCUCUGAAGCAGUUUGGGAAGUCUCCUUCAUGAAUGUCUUUACAAGGUGAGAUUAAGAAAAACAAAAAACAAACACAGUGAACACUGCUAUCAAGCAUUAUACAGUGGAGAGGCCAGCUUGUGAGAACAUUGAGGUGUGCCCUCAAACACCUUAUUCACCAGAUCUGGCACUUUGUGACUUCUAGUGCUUCUCCAAAGUAAAAAGUGACCAUAGAAGAUAAACGUUUUGAAUCUACUCAGGACAUCAAGGCAGCCACAACAGUGCAACUAAAGACACUGGUGAAGGAGGACACUCAGAACUGCUUCAGAGUGUGGUGAGAAUGAUGGGAGGAAUAUUCUGAGGAAGAUUAAUACAAUGUUUUAGAAUAACAACACAUUUUAAUAUUCAUAAUUUUUUCAAUUGCUUUGUGAAAUGUGAAAUCCCUAUGAUGAAGUAAAAUAUAAUCUUAACGAAAGAUGACCUAAAGAGACAAAAAAGAAAAUAUUUACUUGAUUAUUAAAAAUCUUUACUGGUUUAAUAAGGGAAUCAUAUCUCAUUGCCAUAAAAGAUCAUAAAGAGAUACAAGGCACUGAAAUUUUAAAGGAAUAAAAAUGAUAUUGGUGUCAGAAAAGUUAAAAAAUAUCUACCCUAUUCAGAGAUGACAAAACACAGUCAGAAGGAACCAUGGGAAUAAACAUUUGAUUUAAUCAACAGCUGGCUUUAGAUAAAUUGGAUAUUAUCUAUGGAUA
ensembl:lincRNA